UCUUCUUUACCAUAACCGGAUCUGUGUCCAGAUUUCCUGUCCAUGGGCUCCAGUCUGACUGGUUUCUGUGUGAUGGUUGAGAGCUGGGCAUUUCGACGAGCUUGGAGCCAUCAUUUUUUGCGUGGAUGGCCUUUACGGUUUCCGGUCGACAGAUCUCAGAAUAAUUGUCUGUGCCUUGUGAUGCGGGUCUUGAGCUCCCACUGGUGAGCUCGGCUUGACAGCUUGGUUUCGGACGGCGUCAUAUUUCAUAUCUCUUUGCCGAUUGGCCGUUGGCCGCUGAGGUUAGGGAAUAACCAUGACUUGCCAACAUCU
rfam:Penicillium coprophilum strain IBT 31321 PENCOP_contig001, whole genome shotgun sequence.